rnacentral:snRNA from 1 species
AUACCUUUCUCGGCCUUUUGGCUAAGAUCAAGUGUAGUAUCUGUUCUUAUCAGUUUAAUAUCUGAUAUGUGAGUCAUUGACUCACACGAUAUUAAAUUAAUUUUUUUUGGGUGAAGGUUCACCACAGUGGCUUGCCAUUGGAACCUUUGAACGUCUUCAUUCCGUUGCACUAUUGUUUUGACUGGCGUAACCCUA